rnacentral:tRNA from 1 species
ACUACUUUGGCAGAAUUAAGUGCAAUGAAUUUAGAAUUCAUUAAUGUAAUGUUAUUACAUGUAGUAU